rnacentral:rRNA from 1 species
GAUGAACGCUGGCGGCGUGCCUAAUACAUGCAAGUCGAGCGAACGGACGAGAAGCUUGCUUCUCUGAUGUUAGCGGCGGACGGGUGAGUAACACGUGGAUAACCUACCUAUAAGACUGGGAUAACUUCGGGAAACCGGAGAUAAUAACGGAUCAUAUUUUGAACCGCAUGGAUCAAAAGUGAAAGACGGUCUUGCUGUCACUUAUAGAUGGAUCCGCGCUGCAUUGGCGAGUUGGUAAGGUAACGGCUUACCAAGGCAACGAUGCAUACCCGACCGGAGGGGUGUAUCGGCCCCACUGGACCUGAGCCCCGGUCCAGCCUCCUACGGGAGGCAGCAGUAGGGAAUCUUCCGAAAUGGGCGAAGCCCUGUCGGAGCAACGCGGCGUGAGUGAGGAAGGUCUCCGGUUCGUAAAACUCUGUUAUUAGGGAAGAACAUAUGUGGAAGUAACUGUGCUCAUCUUGCCGGUACCUAAUCAGAAAGCCCCGGCUACCUCCGU